rnacentral:rRNA from 1 species
AGGACGAACGCUGGCGGCGUGCUUAACACAUGCAAGUCGAACGGAAAGGCCCUGCUUUGUGGGGUGCUCGAGUGGCGAACGGGUGAGUAACACGUGAGUAACCUGCCCUUGACUUUGGGAUAACUUCAGGAAACUGGGGCUAAUACCGGAUAGGAGCUCCUGCUGCAUGGUGGGGGUUGGAAAGUUUCGGCGGUUGGGGAUGGACUCGCGGCUUAUCAGCUUGUUGGUGGGGUAGUGGCUUACCAAGGCUUUGACGGGUAGCCGGCCUGAGAGGGUGACCGGCCACAUUGGGACUGAGAUACGGCCCAGACUCCUACGGGAGGCAGCAGUGGGGAAUAUUGCACAAUGGGCGGAAGCCUGAUGCCAGCAACGCCGCGUGCGGGAUGACGGCCUUCGGGUUGUAAACCGCUUUCGCCUGUGACGAAGCGUGAGUGACGGUAAUGGGUAAAGAAGCACCGGCUAACUACGUGCCAGCCGCCGC